GGAGACUGCGGUGCUUGCUCCGGGCGACGAGUGGCGGACGGGUGAGUAACGCGUGGGAAUCUACCCAGUAGCGGGGGACAACUCGGGGAAACUCGAGCUAAUACCGCAUACGCCCUUCGGGGGAAAGGCUUCGGCCACUAUUGGAUGAGCCCGCGUCGGAUUAGCUAGUUGGAGGGGUAACGGCCCACCAAGGCAACGAUCCGUAGCUGGUCUGAGAGGACGAUCAGCCACACUGGGACUGAGACACGGCCCAGACUCCUACGGGAGGCAGCAGUGGGGAAUAUUGCACAAUGGGGGAAACCCUGAUGCAGCAAUGCCGCGUGUGUGAAGAAGGCCUGCGGGUUGUAAAGCACUUUCGAUAGGGAAGAUUAUGACGGUACCUAUAGAAGAAGCACCGGCUAACUCCGUGCCAGCAGCCGCGGUAAUACGGAGGGUGCGAGCGUUAAUCGGAAUUACUGGGCGUAAAGCGCGCGUAGGUGGCUAUGUAAGUCGGAUGUGAAAGCCCCGGGCUUAACCUGGGAACUGCAUUCGAUACUGCAUAGCUAGAGUAUGGAAGAGGGAAGUGGAAUUCCGGGUGUAGCGGUGAAAUGCGUAGAUAUCCGGAGGAACAUCAGUGGCGAAGGCGACUUCCUGGGCCAAUACUGACACU
rnacentral:rRNA from 1 species